rnacentral:ncRNA from 1 species
GUGUCCCAUGAAAAGAGAGGUUAGUACUCCAACUGACCAGGACAGAAAAGGCCCUUGGGCCUUACAAUACAUAUACAGUUAAGAUAACACCAGCAGUCUAACCACUGUUUGAG